rnacentral:rRNA from 1 species
GACGAACGCUGGCGGCGUGCUUAACACAUGCAAGUCGAACGGAAAGGCCCUGCUUUUGUGGGGUGCUCGAGUGGCGAACGGGUGAGUAACACGUGAGUAACCUGCCCUUGACUUUGGGAUAACUUCAGGAAACUGGGGCUAAUACCGGAUAGGAGCUCCUGCUGCAUGGUGGGGGUGGGAAAGUUUCGGCGGUUGGGGAUGGACUCGCGGCUUAUCAGCUUGUUGGUGGGGUAGUGGCUUACCAAGGCUUUGACGGGUAGCCGGCCUGAGAGGGGGACCGGCAAAGUGGGAGCUGAAAGGCGCCCCGGACCCAACCGGGGGGCAGAGGUGGGGAUGGUUCCACAUGGGAGGGAGCCCUACGGCAACAACGCCGCGGGGGGGAUGGGGCCUUUGGGGUAGGAACCCACUUUCCCCUGAGAGGAGCCGGGCUUGACGGUAGGGGGAAAAGAAGCCCCGGCUAACUACGUG